GAUGAACGCUAACUACAGGCUUAACACAUGCAAGUCGAGGGGUAACGAGAGGAAAGCUUGCUUUCCUUGUCGACGACCGGCGCACGGGUGAGUAACGCGUAUCCAACCUGCCCCCAACUAGGGAAUAACCUUGCGAAAGUAAGACUAAUACCCUAUAAUUUCCUCAGAUGUCAUCUGACGAGGAAUAAAGAUUUAUCGGUUGUGGAUGGGGAUGCGUCUGAUUAGUUUGUUGGCGGGGUAACGGCCCACCAAGGCAACGAUCAGUAGGGGUUCGGAGAGGAAGGCCCCCCAAAUGGGAACUGAGACACGGUCCAAACGCCGACGGGAGGCAGCAGAGAGAAAUAUUGGUCAAUGGGCGGAGGCCUGAACCAGCCAAGUAGCGUGCAGGAGGACGGCCCUAUGGGUUGUAAACUGUUUUUAUACAGAAAUAAAGUUAGCCACGUGUGGUUAUUUGUAGGUACUGUAUAAAAAAGGACCGGCUAAUUCCGGGCCAGCCGCCGCCGUAA
rnacentral:rRNA from 1 species